ensembl:lncRNA
CACAAUAAACUUGCAUAAUGAACCACCUCCAAACUAAGCAUAUACCCUCGCUUGUUCCUGGGCAGGUCAGCUGGAGGUCUGCUGAUCUCUGUGGAAUUCAACGGGGCUUGAUUCCGAGGUGCCGGUUACAUGUGGGUAUGCUCCACGGACCUACCAACGUCCUGGGACCAGCGGGCAACCUACAUCAUGUCAUUUUCUUGGAAGAGUCAGAAGGGCAGGCAUGCAAAGCCCAGCUGCUUAUGGGCAAUUCAAGCUGCUGCUUCUCCUCCAUCUGCAUCCCAUUGCCUGAUGCGUGUUACCCAGGCACGAGGGGUUUUUCAGAUACUACAUAGAAUCUUCUGGAUUUAGUGAGGCUCACUGGCUGCCAGUUGGAAAGGAGGCACGAGAGAAUCUUGGAACUGGCUUGGGUGUCGGGUCAAAGAUACUUGGUAGGUUAGCAACAUCAGAAAUCCAGAUUCGGAGAACAAAUCUGGUAUGGUCUUUCUAUCAACAUAUUUGAAACCUCCUAAACAGCUAGUGAUUACUGAAUGAAGACCCUUAGAGACCUUAGGAAUGGGGGAAAAUAGGAAGUACUGAACAUGGCAUUUCAAGACCAAUGUCAGUGUCGUGGGCUUAAAUGCAGAAUCCAGUAACAAAAGGAACUAGUCAGGAAAGUUUGAAAUUCUUGCCAUCUAGGAAUCUGACUGAGAACAUAACCCUUUGACAGAACGUGCCUGGCAUACUCUCCAUGGGCUCUAGUCUUGGAAAUAACCCUUCCUGGCUGGGUGAUGUUGGCACAGCUAAUGUCUCUAGGCCUCCACUUGGUAGCUCAGAGGGUUGGAAGAGGAGGCCCUGAAAUACUCAGAGCUUCCACAAACAAACUUGAGGUUGCUGUGUUGAAAGAUCUGGUCUGAUUUCCAACUUAGAAGUACAGACAAAUAUGGAAGACUGAAAGGACUGGGAGAUUGGUGGUGGAACCCAUGAAACGGUGUAAAAUGACGAUUUUUUUUAAGAUUUUGUUUGUUUUUUUUUUUUUAAAGAUUUUAUUUGUUUAUUUAAGAGAGAGAGAAUGAACACAAGCAGGGGAAGGGGCAGAGGGAGAGGGAGACAUAGAGUCCCCACUGAGCAGGGAGCUACAUGUGGUCCUGGGAUCAUAACCUGAGCUGCAGGCAGAUGCUUAGCCUACUAAGCCCUCCAGGUGCCCUGGUAUGAAGUGAACACUUGAAGUGGGAUCUACUGUAGAGGGACCCCGAGUCUCUGGAACCCGGUAUUCAUCCUCCGCUUCCUCCUUGCUAACAGAACCCCAUUUGUGUUUGAAGCAGCCACACUCACAGCUUAAAAAGCUGUAUGUGGCUACUUUUGCUCCAUCCCAUUAACCACUUGACAUAGUUCUGGCCAAGGAGAUACAACUGGGGCUUCCAGAGGAGUUUUCAGGAAAGUACGUUUUGGAUGGCACAGCCCCCUCUCUCUUCAUCCUCCCCUCUUAGAAACCAGAAAUGAUCUGAGGUGGAGCAGUCAUCCUGGGACCACAAGGCGCCAGGUCACACGCUAUGUACUGAUAGAAACCCACUCAGCACCUGCAGCCUGAGGGCAUCCAGAGCUAUCAUACAACCCUAAUUCCUCUAGGCAGACUUCUUGCUCAGAGAGAAAAGAAGGGCACAAGAGAGACAGGGAGGGAGAUGGGGGCCAAGUCUCUCACAUUUGGUUUUACCCUUACAGGCUGGGCAUCCCACACAUGCCAGCAAACAUAGUUCUGAUCAAAGUGAUGCCUGGCCUUCCCCAUCCAGUGAUGAGUGAGCCCACUUCCCUGCAAUAUUCAGUAUGCUCGAGACAACCAGACAUAGCAAAUGACUGCUUCUGGAAAAGAGCUUGCUAAUAACGAUAAAACUAACUGCAGUCCUCCAGGACAGAGACCAUAUUUUAUUCCUCUUUAUAGUCCUGGUGCCCCAAGUGGCCAUGAUGGACUUUAGGAUCACAAUCCCGAUGAGUUAGAUGAUUGAUGAAGAGAAAGAAACCAUUUCUUUUCUGUCAAGGAGUUAUUNUUUAUAGUCCGUGCCCCAAGUGGCCAUGAUGGACUUUAGGAUCACAAUCCCGAUGAGUUAGAUGAUUGAUGAAGAGAAAGAAACCAUUUCUUUUCUGUCAAGGAGUUAUUCCAUCCAUAUGACAGCCAACAUUCACUGGUGAUGAUUUGUCAUUUGUUCUGUAGGAUUGACGCUCAUCCCACCCACUCCCACCCCAGGUCACAUAAACCAGUUUGUGGGAGUGUCACAUGGAACAUAGAAGAAGCUACUGAUGGUCUCGCCAGUGUGUCUGACAGGCUCCAGAAAGAAAUGGAUCCCCAGGCUCUGGAGUAAAUGAAGGGCUCUCAUGCUUCUGUCCAAGGCCAUCAACGACCAUGACACUUGCCCUAAGAAAUGGAGCAAAGUGAGGAGAGAAGCCCCUGGGAGACUCAGUGAGCACUUAGGGUUGGGGUGACUAUGCCAGGAAGGCAGACAUAGAAGAAACUCCUUCUUUUGCUCCCUCUCAUCUGCCACACUCCUCACCAGAAAGGGGUCUUGCUGGAAGCACACUGUAAGUAUUGCUUCUAUCUCCACCUGCAUCCACUUCCAGCCAGGAUUCAAAGGAGAGUUUCUAAAGCUGCCCCAGUUGUCACCACCAUCAUCGUCACCUUACAACAAGUAUCUGCAAACUGUGACCUGACAGCCGGAUCCGGUCUUUGUAAAUAAAGUCUUAUUACAAUACA